rnacentral:rRNA from 1 species
AACGAACGCUGGCGGCAUGCCUAACACAUGCAAGUCGAACGAGACCUUCGGGUCUAGUGGCGCACGGGUGCGUAACGCGUGGGAACCUGCCCUUAGGUUCGGAAUAACUCCCCGAAAGGGGUGCUAAUACCGGAUAAUGUCUUCGGACCAAAGAUUUAUCGCCUUUGGAUGGGCCCGCGUUGGAUUAGCUAGUUGGUAGGGUAAAAGCCUACCAAGGCGACGAUCCAUAGCUGGUCUGAGAGGAUGAUCAGCCACACUGGGACUGAGACACGGCCCAGACUGCUACGGGAGGCAGCAGUGGAGAAUAUUGGACAAUGGGCGAAAGCCUGAUCCAGCAAUGCCGCGUGAGUGAUGAAGGCCUUAGGGUUGUAAAGCUCUUGUACCCGGGAUGAUAAUGACAGUACCGGGAGAAUAAGCUCCGGCGAACUCCGUG